UUUGUGCACAUGCAUCUUCUUUAUGUGUGCAUGCAUGUACAAACAUGCAUACACACACCAGA
rnacentral:miRNA from 10 species